CGAUGAAGCCCAUUUCGGGGGUGGAUUAGUGGCGAACGGGUGAGUAACACGUGGGUAACCUGCCCUUGGCUUUGGGAUAAGCCCUGGAAACGGGGUCUAAUACCGGAUAUGACCAGUCCUCGCAUGGGGGUUGGUGGAAAGUUCCGGCGGCCAGGGAUGGGCCCGCGGCCUAUCAGCUUGUUGGUGGGGUGAUGGCCUACCAAGGCGACGACGGGUAGCCGGCCUGAGAGGGCGACCGGCCACACUGGGACUGAGACACGGCCCAGACUCCUACGGGAGGCAGCAGUGGGGAAUAUUGCACAAUGGGCGAAAGCCUGAUGCAGCGACGCCGCGUGAGGGAUGACGGCCUUCGGGUUGUAAACCUCUUUCGACAGGGACGAAGCGAGAGUGACGGUACCUGUAGAAGAAGCACCGGCUAACUACGUGCCAGCAGCCGCGGUAAUACGUAGGGUGCGAGCGUUGUCCGGAAUUAUUGGGCGUAAAGAGCUCGUAGGCGGUUUGUCGCGUCGACUGUGAAAACCUGGGGCUUAACUCUGGGCCUGCAGUCGAUACGGGCAGACUUGAGUUCGGUAGGGGAGACUGGAAUUCCUGGUGUAGCGGUGAAAUGCGCAGAUAUCAGGAGGAACACCGGUGGCGAAGGCGGGUCUCUGGGCCGAUACUGACGCUGAGGAGCGAAAGCGUGGGGAGCGAACAGGAUUAGAUACCCUGGUAGUCCACGCUGUAAACGUUGGGCGCUAGGUGUGGGGAGCAUUCAUGUUUUCCGUGCCGUAGCUAACGCAUUAAGCGCCCCGCCUGGGGAGUAC
rnacentral:rRNA from 1 species